rnacentral:rRNA from 1 species
UACGAAGGGGGCUAGCGUUGUUCGGAAUUACUGGCGUAAAGCGCGCGCAGGCGGUUCUUCAAGUCAGUGGUGAAAGCCCGGAGCUCAACUCCGGAACUGCCAUUGAAACUGUAGAACUUGAGGAUGAGAGAGGUGAGUGGAAUUCCCAGUGUAGAGGUGAAAUUCGUAGAUAUUGGGAAGAACACCGGUGGCGAAGGCGGCUCACUGGCUCAGUUUCUGACGCUCAGGCGCGACAGCGUGGGGAUCGAAACAGG